CCGAUCGCCACAUGCAAAGGGAUCGGCGGUCGAGCCGGCGUCGGUGAGGCCCGCGCUCGGCUCUUUUUGUACCCAUGUUGCUCAAUGGAGGAUGUGGCAAUGAGAA
rnacentral:sRNA from 1 species